rnacentral:rRNA from 1 species
GACGAACGCUGGCGGCGUGCUUAACACAUGCAAGUCGAACGGAAAGGCCCUGCUUUUGUGGGGUGCUCGAGUGGCGAACGGGUGAGUAACACGUGAGUAACCUGCCCUUUACUUUGGGAUAACUUCAGGAAACUGGGGCUAAUACCGGAUAGGAGCUCCUGCUGCAUGGUGGGGGUUGGAACGUUUCGGCGGUUGGGGAUGGACUCGCGGGUUAUCAGCUUGUUGGUGGGGUAGUGGCUUACCAAGGCUUUGACGGCUAGCCGGCCUGAGAGGGUGACCGGCCACAUUGGGACUGAGAUAGGCAGCAGACUCCUACAGGAGGCAACAGUGGAAAAUAUUGCACAAUGGGCGGAAGCCUGAUGCAGCAACACCGCGUGCGGGAUGACGGCCUUCGGGUUGUAAACCGCAGUCGCCUGUGACGAAGCGUGAGUGACGGUAAUGGGUAAAGAAGCACCGGCUAACUACGUG